CUCUAUACUCCUGUCUUACAUAAGUUAGAUAGGGAAAGUUUUUCGGUGUAGGAUGAGGCUAUAUUGUAUCAGCUAGUUGGUGAGGUAAUGGCUCACCAAGGCUAUGACGCAUAACUGGUCUGAGAGGAUGAUCAGUCACACUGGAACUGAGACACGGUCCAGACUCCUACGGGAGGCAGCAGUAGGGAAUAUUGCUCAAUGGGGGAAACCCUGAAGCAGCAACGCCGCGUGGAGGAUGACACUUUUCGGAGCGUAAACUCCUUUUGUUAGGGAAGAAUAAUGACGGUACCUAACGAAUAAGCACCGGCUAACUCCGUGCCAGCAGCCGCGGUAAUACGGAGGGUGCAAGCGUUACUCGGAAUCACUGGGCGUAAAGGACGCGUAGGCGGAUUAUCAAGUCUCUUGUGAAAUCCUAUGGCUUAACCAUAGAACUGCUUGGGAAACUGAUAAUCUAGAGUGAGGGAGAGGCAGAUGGAAUUGGUGGUGUAGGGGUAAAAUCCGUAGAGAUCACCAGGAAUACCCAUUGCGAAGGCGAUCUGCUGGAACUCAACUGACGCUAAUGCGUGAAAGCGUGGGGAGCAAACAGGAUUAGAUACCCUGGUAGUCCACGCCCUAAACGAUGUAUACUAGUUGUUGCUAAGCUAGUCUUGGCAGUAAUGCACCUAACGGAUUAAGUAUACCGCCUGGGGAGUACGGUCGCAAGAUUAAAACUCAAAGGAAUAGACGGGGACCCGCACAAGCGGUGGAGCAUGUGGUUUAAUUCGAAGAUACGCGAAGAACCUUACCCGGACUUGAUAUCUAACAAAUCAUCCAGAGAUGGAAGAGUGUCUGCUUGCAGAAAUGUUAAGACAGGUGCUGCACGGCUGUCGUCAGCUCGUGUCGUGAGAUGUUGGGUUAAGUCCCGCAACGAGCGCAACCCACGUCAUUAGUUGCUAACAGUUCGGCUGAGCACUCUAAUGAGACUGCCUUCGUAAGGAGGAGGAAGGUGUGGACGACGUCAAGUCAUCAUGGCCCUUAUGUCCGGGGCGACACACGUG
rnacentral:rRNA from 1 species